UACAGAGGGGGCAAGCGUUGUUCGGAAUUACUGGGCGUAAAGGGCGCGUAGGCGGCCUACUAAGUCAUACGUGAAAUCCCACGGCUCAACCGUGGAACUGCGUCUGAGACUGGAAGGCUUGAAUUCGGGAGAGGGAUGCGGAAUUCCAGGUGUAGCGGUGAAAUGCGUAGAUAUCUGGAGGAACACCGGUGGCGAAGGCGGCAUCCUGGACCGACAUUGACGCUGAGGCGCGAAAGCCAGGGGAGCAAACGGGAUUAGAUACCCCGGUAGU
rnacentral:rRNA from 1 species